rnacentral:rRNA from 1 species
UACGUAGGGUGCAAGCGUUGUCCGGAAUUAUUGGGCGUAAAGAGCUCGUAGGCGGUUUGUCGCGUCUUGCUGUGAAAUCCCGAGGCUCAACCUCGGGUCUGCAGUGGGUACGGGCAGACUAGAGUGUGGUAGGGGAGAUUGGAAUUCCUGGUGUAGCGGUGGAAUGCGCAGAUAUCAGGAGGAACACCGAUGGCGAAGGCAGAUCUCUGGGCCAUUACUGACGCUGAGGAGCGAAAGCAUGGGGAGCGAACAGG